GACGAACGCUGGCGGCGUGCUUAACACAUGCAAGUCGAACGGAAAGGCCCUGCUUUUGUGGGGUGCUCGAGUGGCGAACGGGUGAGUAACACGUGAGUAACCUGCCCUUGACUUUGGGAUAACUUCAGGAAACUGGGGCUAAUACCGGAUAGGAGCUCCUGCUGCAUGGUGGGGGUUGGAAAGUUUCGGCGGUUGGGGAUGGACUCGCGGCUUAUCAGCUUGUUGGUGGGGUAGUGGCUUACCAAGGCUUUGACGGGUAGCCGGCCUGAGAGGGUGACCGGCCACAUUGGGACUGAGAUACGGCCCAGACUCCUACGGGAGGCAGCAGUUGGGAAUAUUGCACAAUGGGCGGAAGCCUGAUGCAGCAACUCCGCGUGCGGGAUGACGGCCUUCGGGUUGUAAACCGCUUUCGCCUGUGACGAAGCGUGAGUGACGGUAAUGGGUAAAGAAGCACCGGAUAACUACGUG
rnacentral:rRNA from 1 species